AGUUUUGCACAGUGGCAGUUUCAUAGCCAAUGUGGUUUAUCCAUGGCAUGACUAUUGCUAAUUGAAAACUGUUCCCAAUACCUUGUCAUGAUUUGAAAUAUAGUCAGAAUUGGCGAUUUUUAACAGUCUUUAUGGAGA